rnacentral:rRNA from 1 species
AUUGAACGCUGGCGGCAGGCCUAACACAUGCAAGUCGAGCGGAUGAAGGGAGCUUGCUCCCGGAUUCAGCGGCGGACGGGUGAGUAAUGCCUAGGAAUCUGCCUGGUAGUGGGGGAUAACGUCCGGAAACGGGCGCUAAUACCGCAUACGUCCUGAGGGAGAAAGUGGGGGAUCUUCGGACCUCACGCUAUCAGAUGAGCCUAGGUCGGAUUAGCUAGUUGGUGGGGUAAAGGCCUACCAAGGCGACGAUCCGUAACUGGUCUGAGAGGAUGAUCAGUCACACUGGAACUGAGACACGGUCCAGACUCCUACGGGAGGCAGCAGUGGGGAAUAUUGGACAAUGGGCGAAAGCCUGAUCCAGCCAUGCCGCGUGUGUGAAGAAGGUCUUCGGAUUGUAAAGCACUUUAAGUUGGGAGGAAGGGCAGUAAGUUAAUACCUUGCUGUUUUGACGUUACUAACAGAAUAAGCACCGGCUAACUUCGUG